GUAGGUGGCAAGCGUUGUCCGGAAUUAUUGGGCGUAAAGCGCGCGCAGGCGGUCCUUUAAGUCUGAUGUGAAAGCCCACGGCUCAACCGUGGAGGGUCAUUGGAGACUGGGGGACUUGAGUACAGAAGAGGAAAGCGGAAUUCCAAGUGUAGCGGUGAAAUGCGUAGAGAUUUGGAGGAACACCAGUGGCGAAGGCGGCUUUCUGGCCUGUAACUGACGCUGAGGCGCGAAAGCGUGGGGAGCAAACAGGGAUUAGAUACCCUGGUAGUCCACGCCGUAAACGAUGAGUGCUAAGUGUUAGGGGGGUUUCCGCCCCCUUAGUGCUGCAGCUAACGCAUUAAGCACUCCGCCUGGGGAGUACGGCCGCAAGGCUG
rnacentral:rRNA from 1 species